UGGGGGAUAUUGCACAAUGGGGGAAACCCUGAUGCAGCGACGCCGCGUGAGGGAAGAUGGUUUUCGGAUUGUAAACCUCUGUCUUUGGGGACGAACAAAUGACGGUACCCAAGGAGGAAGCCACGGCUAACUACGUGCCAGCAGCCGCGGUAAUACGUAGGUGGCAAGCGUUGUCCGGAAUUACUGGGUGUAAAGGGAGCGUAGGCGGGGAGACAAGUUGAAUGUUUAAACUAUCGGCUUAACUGAUAGUCGCGUUCAAAACUAUCACUCUUGAGUGCAGUAGAGGCAGGCGGAAUUCCUAGUGUAGCGGUGAAAUGCGUAGAUAUUAGGAGGAACACCAGUGGCGAAGGCGGCCUGCUGGGCUGCAACUGACGCUGAGGCUCGAAAGCGUGGGGAGCAAAUAGGAUUAGAUACC
rnacentral:rRNA from 1 species